rnacentral:rRNA from 1 species
UACGUAGGGUGCGAGCGUUGUCCGGAAUUAUUGGGCGUAAAGAGCUUGUAGGCGGUUUGUCGCGUCUGCUGUGAAAUUUCGGGGCUCAACCCCGAACUUGCAGUGGGUACGGGCAGACUAGAGUGUGGUAGGGGAGACUGGAAUUCCUGGUGUAGCGGUGAAAUGCGCAGAUAUCAGGAGGAACACCGAUGGCGAAGGCAGGUCUCUGGGCCACUACUGACGCUGAGAAGCGAAAGCAUGGGGAG